UAGGGUAUAAGAGCAAUUGCCAUGAUAUCUAACAAGUGAAUGAGUUUGCCCAUCCAAUGUCCUCAUGCAUGCAGACCUAUAAGAUUUCUUGCCAUUAAUCUAAACAUUGUGCCAACUUCAAUAGAAGGAAGCAAUGGAGACACCAACAUCAAUGGAAACUGUAGAUGAAUGAUAGGUUACAAUUAUUAAAUUGUCAUACU
rnacentral:lncRNA from 1 species